rnacentral:tRNA from 1 species
UGGUGUAGCUCAGCCGGUAGAGCACAUCACUCGUAAUGAUGGGGUCGCAGGUUCGAUUCCUGUCACCAG